rnacentral:rRNA from 1 species
UGGGGAAUAUUGCACAAUGGAGGGAACUCUGAUGCAGCGACGCCGCGUGAGUGAUGAAGGAAUUCGUUUCGUAAAACUCUGUUCUAUGGGAAGAAAAGGACUGUACCAUAGGAGAAAGCUCCGGCUAAAUACGUGCCAGCAGCCGCGGUAAUACGUAUGGAGCGAGCGUUGUCCGGAAUUAUUGGGCGUAAAGGGUGCGCAGGCGGCUUUACAAGUUGGAUGUGAAAUAUUGUGGCUCAACCACAAACGUGCAUCCAAAACUGCAAAGCUUGAGUUAAGGAGAGGUAAGUGGAAUUCCUGGUGUAGCGGUUGAAUGCGUAAAUAUCAGGAGGAAUACCGGUGGCGAAGGCGACUUACUGGACUUAAACUGACGCUCAGGCACGAAAGCGUGGGGAGCAAACAGG